CGUAUAAAAUGCUAUCGUCUUCCCCCACUCGCUCCGUCUCUCGCAAUCUCUCACUCUCUCGACUUCGAGGAGGAGCGGCGAAGAAGAGCAAUGGAGGAAGUCACAGAGACGGAGCUCGAAUCACAGCUUAACUCUAUUGUAGAUUUACUAAGUAAGGUCCAAGUUCGUGCUGGUGGGGGGCAUCUUACUAUACUAGAGACCGAGAGGCUUGUUUUGAUACUUUUGAAUAAAAGGAAUGUGGUAACACAUCAAUCGCCAUCAAACGUUUAUGAAGAUUUCAUUUUAUCCCUCUGUUGCAUCUCUACUUUGUAAUAUCUGUUGCUCACCAGGUCCUCUAUUUCAUACUUUUCAUUUCUUACAUCCGCACAUAGAGACAAAUUUCUUAAGCUUCAUGCCACUGCUCACUAGGCCUUGCAGAUUUUUCAGAUUGACGAGCACCUAAGUCAUGUAGCGAUGGGACGAAAGAAGCGCUUGAAAUUUGAAAUAAAUUGUUGACCAUUGAGCUUAUUCAGCAUUUGAUGAGUUCAAUUUUCUUGAUCAGGUUGCUGUUCUUGUGCCUGACACUUGGUGCUGGCUUUUUAAAUUAUCACCUCAAUAUGUUAUCCUUUGGAGAUCUGUUCGCUAUUGCACACUAACAAGAUCUUUGAAAUAGGAAAUUCUGAGUACCUUAAGGAUUUAUUGGACCAUCUGAACGUAGAUAUUGUUGAGAAGGUGUAAUUCUCUGUGUGGAGUGUUACUUGAAGCCUCACAAGGAUCUGUUGCUUCAAUCUUGAUUUUGUUGCUGGCUAACAUUUUCAUGGAUCUGGUUUUUGUCUUUGACUUGGUCUCAAGCGUGAUUGACAUUCAGCUGAACAAGGAUAAAUAUAUGAGGCAUUUGUUGAAGAUGACUUAUGCAAUGAGGCUAUGUUUUCAGUUGAUUGCUUUUCUCCUUAUUGAUACUCAUGAUUGAUCCAACAGUUUUUGUUUUUAACCAGAAAAGGGGAUAAAGUGGAUCUAUAAUAGAUAUCAAAAGUAAUAAGUACUAAUAGGCGAACUUUGAACAAAAUUAAAUUAACUAAUUAACAUAUCAUCUUUCGAUUAGCUUUGGUGUCAUACAGAAAGCAUAAAACUAUCCAUGUGCACUUUGUUAACUUGCGCAAAUAUAAAAGCUCCCUGCCAAUCUAUAUUUAAGUCAUGAAUUUUCAAAUUUAACUUUUAAGUACAUUUAUCAGAUCAUAUUACCAAUUCAGGUGUCAACAUGGUAAAUAUGCCUUUGGCUAUCUAGCAGUUAACCAAUAGUUAUAGGUUUAUAACUGGAAAAUUGUGUGGAGAAUGAGAUGCUAGAUCCCUUUGCACAGGUGUGGGCUUGUCCAUUUGAUGCUAGACCCUUCUUUCUAGUUUUUGAGAAAGAUAUUUUUGGCAAGUUUAGGUUCAAUACAUAUGCCUUUGGAUCAACAUUUAAUAAAACUAUUAUAACUUCAAUACUGUAUUAAUUUUGGUAGUGGUUGUAGGCUUUAGCUGUGGAAAUUGAACUCUACCCCAGAAUAUAUGCUACAAAAUUAAAUAAUAUCUAAGACUUCGUUGUUCUCCUAUCAGUUGGAUGAUUUGUGAAAAUAAUAUAUAAGGAAUUGCUAGAUCUUCUAGAUCAGGUUGUCCAUAUCAUUGUAAAUUAAAUAGUAUCAAAUUGAAUUUUUCUGGUACAAGUUCCCUGAUAGAUGUGGCUGUCUGUUUUUCUUAGGUGUCAUCUGUUGAAAAUGCAUGCAAUCCUUUGUUACAUGGAAAUAGAAAAGCCUCCUGUAUUGUUUGUGUCCACCGGAUAGGUACAUAUAUUCUCUAUUUCCUUCCCUCCCUAUGGACCAUCUUAUUGUUAUUUUUUCAUAUGAGCAUCAUAUCUCUAAAUAUGUGCUAUUUGUUUUUUUGGAUUUUAUUUAUUUAGUCAUGAAUCUGCAGUUAAAACAAAAACAGAAACUUAACAAGUGAUUCUGUCAUGUAAAUUCUAUUUCCUGCUGAUUAAAGGACUUCAAAUACACAUCAAAAGUCAAAUCGGACAAUGGCUACUAAUUAAAUUGGGGGUGUUAAUCUACUGAUUGAAUGUUUUUUGUGUUACGAGUGAAUCUAUUGGUCAGUGUGAUAACAAAGCCUAUUGUUAUCAUUUUUUUAUUGGUUAUUUAUAGCCAACAAUGUGGCAGGUAGAAUUUGAACCCAUGACCACCAACAGUAAACUAGAUUCAACAUAGACUGUUUAUUGACAUGGAUGCUACAUAAAAAAAAGGUGAUAUGCGUAAAAUUGUAACUAAAGCUAUACAUCUUGCGAAAGAGUAUGAAAUAAAUGUAUGCCGGUAUAUUAUUUCGUAUAGCUACUAAAUUAUAUGAAUGGUUUUUCAUUGUUGGUGUAUCAUUUUCUCACGCAGAACAUUGGCUCAUAACCGCUUUAUUUGCAUUCAAUAAUAUAUUCAUCUUGGUGCAGAGAUGAUUGUAUACUUUUCCUCCAUAAAUUGCUUCUAACUUUGUUUUCUAGGAAUCUUGAUGCAAAUAUUUGACUAAGAAAUUGAUGAUUCUACUUUGGUAAAAUUUCAAGGUAUUGAAUUUGCGGUAUGUAACUAUAUGCUAUUUAUUCAUCGCACAAGAAGAAACAACUUGUUUAAACUGUUUUUAGAAGAUGGGGUACUAUAAAAAAAAAACCAAAGAAUUAGACAACCUUCUUGGCAAUAUUUAUCAUGAAAUUCUUGGUAUUUUCUACCCAUUACUUUUGGAUCGUCCUUGAAAUUCCUUAAUGCUUUAAUUUUUUAAAAAUUAAAUUGGAAAGAGAAUUUUAAUUGAUCUGACUAAAUUAAUACAAAAAAAAAUGUAUUUCCUAAUAAUUAAUAUUUAUUAAUUUUAAUCAUUUUUAAAUUAUUUUUUAAAAUUCAUCUAUUCAAUAAUAGACAUUUUUGGUAAGGUAAUUGGCCAUAAAUCAAGAGCAUCCUAGUGCGUCCAAAUUUAUUUUUCUUCUACAUGGCUUUUUUUGUUCUUUUACUUUUGCUUCAGUUUUGAUUUGAAUUCUUUUCACCUCCACGGUUGCUAGCACGUUACCGUAGUGUGAAAAGAACUUGAUGGAUUAAUUGUGAUUCUUGACAAUAAAAUUGUUUAUUCAGUUUGUGUAUUGUUAACUGAGUUUUUUUUUAAUCUUUCCACGUCAAAAUUCCUCUUGUUGAGAAGACCAGGACUAGGAAUUCUUAGACAAAGAAAUUGGGCCUACUUUUGCAGAUCAAAAUAUUAAAUUACCAAACUAGCUGACAUUUAACUUCAGAAAAGAUAGUUUUAAUGUUUAGAGUCUUUAGACUACUUCUAAAACUCAACCAUGUCAAAUAAUAGUAUCAGACCUUGUUCGCACUUCAUUGAUGCUGUCAUUCUCUUUGCGGAUAAAAUUUAAUAUUUCUGUUGUGUUUCAUAAAUGGUUUCAGGUGGCUUUGAUUGUUUUUGUCUUAUAUUGGAAGCUUUGUACUGGCAGAUAGAUGACCGAUAUAUUAACUAUGCAAAUUUUAUAAAACAUUCUUAAACAUAUUUUCUUGAUGUCAUUUAUUAAUCCCAUUAUUUGAUAUUAUUCUGGAUAUUUUGUCCAAUAAGAAGCAAGUUCAGGAAUGCAGAACAGUCAGCAUUCAUGAUUGAUCUUCAUCAAAUAGGGAUGCUGUUUCAGUAAAAAUCAAAUUGCACCCGUCUUUUAGUGCUGUUAAUGUUUAUCACCUAAAUAUUGAUGGUAGACUUUACAUGCAUGCAACAUCACCUUCAUGUUUGUUGGAUGAACUUGGGAAGGGCACUCUUACAGAAGUUCAGUUGUUUUAAUAGUGCCACAUCUAUGUCAUUUACUUAUCAAUUUCAAUCAUAAAACGUCUUAAGUAGCUCUAAUAUUUCUAACAUUAAUUACAGAUAGAUGGCAAUGAGCUGCUGGGUGGAGUUAUUAAUCAUUUUGUUAGCUGUAAAUAUCCUUCAAAGGUUUGAUGGAGUCUUACUUCCUCAUUGCCCUCAAUGUGCUAUUAUUGUAUUGGUUACAAAUUACUCACAUAAUGUGUUCCUCACCUUGUAAUCUAUGUUAAUCAUAAUAACUGUGGCUUUCAUGAUAAUCUCCUCAUCCCUUUUAAGCAGUUGGCAUUAAAAUUUUUGAGCAAGCACUCUAUACUAUUCUAAAACAAACAGAGAUAAUGUUCUUUCACUAUGGCGACCACUCUGUCUGAGAUGCUCUAGAUCUGCAUUUGAGAUAUCUAUUUGUAGAUUGAAAACUAGGUUAAUAAAUUUCUUAAAACCAAUUUUGUUAGUUAUGGACCAAUUUAUCUACUAUUUUUUUUUGGGUGCAUUGUUACUGAUGUCAGAUUUUCCAUUUAUUGAAAGUAUUUAGAUGUAAAUAUGGAAAUAACUACUAGAUUAAACUGUAUUGAAGUAUUAAAAACCGAACUUCAUGUGCUAGUUAUUAUGUUUGUAGUAACUUAUUGGCAAUAGCAGUGGAUAUUGAUCAUGCAUAUAUUGUUCUCAUCCAUUCGAUGACAAUGCCUGUUGUAAUGAAAUUGAGUUGAGUUGGAGACACGAAUAAAUUUAGGUGAUUUUGAAUUUUGGGCUUGGACCCUAGGGCUUUAAGAAAUUAUCUGGCAGUGUUUUCUGCGCAAUUGGAUAGGUAGUUGAAUGCUGGCAUAUUGUUUAUCUGGCUAUCCAGUAUUUCUUCUUCAUGAUUUCACAUAUGCCAUGCCAUCAUAGCAUUUUCAUAAAAAUUAAUGGAAAAACUCAUUCAGUUGUAUAUGAAAAUCUUGUCAAAACUUAACUUUGCGAUGUUUGCUAGUUUAACAUUUGGCAAUUGUCAUGAUGUAUUAAACAUGUUUUGGAUGUAGUUGUCAUUAAAAUCAGUAAUCUCCUUUCAUGAGUAUGAUCUCUUUGAGUUUCCUCUAUUUCAUUCUCUUGAGUCCCUCAACGCUUAUUGCUGAUCACAGUCAUUACUACCAGGCAGCAUGACUGCAAUGAUCAUUUGCCUGAUGAUUUCUGCUAUUUUGAAAAAUCCAUCUUCUUGUUUUCUUUGUUAUGGUUAAUUUGCAUUCUAUCUCUAUUCAAAAGCUUGCGCCUGGGCACUCACUUCUGAGCUAUGGUGAGCAUAUUAAUAUACAAGUACAUAAUUUGCCCCUUAUAUUUCUAAAGUGAUAUUAUUUUUCUUCUUUUACAGGAUUGCGUUGUGCACGACUUGCUGGUACUGUAAAGUGCAUGCUUUGUUGUAUAUCUCAUGGAUCAAAUUGAAGUCUUCUUCCGAUUCUCAAAGAAACUUCGACACCACUGACAAUUAGUAAGUCAUUAUCUCCAAUUUUGAUGACAAAGAAAGAAUUGGGCAUGUGAUCCUCUGUUUUUUCAGGGCCAGUCUGCUUUGAAAUAACUCUCACCACUUCAUUGAAGUCAUUUACUUGCUCAUCAAAUGGAAUGCAAUAACCCUGAUAAAGAAUAUUUAGGAUAAUGUUCUCAUCACAUUAAUAUUGUCAUACAUUUAAAGUUACUAACUUUAUAUGUCCAAUUAAGGAUUCCAGCACCACCAGAUGCAAAGUUGACACCUUUGAGAAGUUCGUCAUCUAUGUCUGCCUUGUUGAUGAAACUAAGAUAUGGUUUUGGUGAUGGUAAUCCAAGUUUCUCAGCUAAAAAAGAAAUUAUACAUGUUAGAAUAUAAUUUUGUAAAUAUACAGCAUUGCUAUUAUAUGACCAUCUACAAAUUUAGUUCUUUUGGAAUUUCAAUGAAUGAGAGAAAUAAGUGAAGUUUGUGAGAUACCGAGAAAGUCAGCCGCAUUCUUGCCAUUGCUAAACCGGCUGGUGGCCUUGUAAGUCAGUAAAGUCGAUACCGUAGGCGAAGUAAUUGGCCUUGGCUCUAUGGAAAUUGAAGUUGUUGUUGCCUACAUCAAUUAUGGAUGCUCUAAGAAGAUACAUGUCUUGAUCUGGUGCUUGUCCAAAGCCACAAAUAAUGCACAACAUCAGGCACAUCACAAGAUAUGGCCAGGUUGUUCCUGAUUUUACAUGGAGAUUUCAUCCAUGCCCCUUCAACGUCUUUCGGUCUGCAGACGAGUUCCCAUCUCACCGCGUGC